AUAAAAAGGAAACAAGAAAGAGAAAUCAAAAGACAUCAAUGAGGGCAAACUGUACAUCCCUACAUGUGGAAAUACUCCUUGUAACUCUAAAGAACUUUGUCAGUAUUGGGGCAGUUAAAAGAAUUAUACAUAGACAGAGGACAAAGGUGAGGAAACAGAAGCCCAUGGAGUUUGGAGAGAGCACACCUGAAAAGAAGAGCAAAGAACAAUUCCUGGGUCCAGGACUCAAUCCACAAUGCUUGAGCCUCUCUUUCCUCUGGUAAAAUGGAGGGAUUUGUCUACAUGGCUGAUGAGGUUCCUUCCAGAUAUGGUCUAUGGUCUAUGAACACCUGGGUUGAGGUAAGGUCUUGUGACAAUGAAAUCACUUUAAAAGACUGAUAUAUAUUAAUUUAAGGUCACCAAGGAAUUCAGCUAUGUAAUUCCUAAAUGAAAACUCAAGUCAGUAGUCAGCCUUUUAUGGAGUUUAAUUACAAACAGGAGGAAGAAAGGUAUUAGAGAUAGAGAGAGAGAGGGAGAGAAGGGAAUAGGGCUUAAAUAACCCCUUCUGUUUAGGCUGGGCCAAAAGGCCCAAGCCCUUAGAUAGCUGGGGCAAAGAAAGGAGAUCAGUCCCUAUCACUCACGUGACCAAAAUGGAGAAAUAG
ensembl:lncRNA